AUGGCGGCGGCGGCGCUACUGCUGCUGCUGGUGUCGCUGGCGGCGGCGGCGCCCACGAGCAACACAUCGGACAGGUGGGAGAGGACGAGGAGCGAGGAGAAAUGGCGGAUGUUCAUGGAGUGGAAGGCCAGGCACGGGCACGGCACGACCAACAGCUCCCUCACCGAGGAGGAGGAGGAGCACGGGGAGAGGGGGAUGAGCGAGGAGGAGACACGGCAGAUCUUCACGGAGUGGAAGGCCAAGCAGGGCACGACCAACAGCUCCCUCGCCAAGGAGGAGCAGCGCGCGUACACCAUGUUCAAGCACAGGCUCGGCCUCAUCGACCGGCGGUGGCAUGACGAAGGCUACUCCGUCUUCUCCUGGGAGAGGGGGAGGAGCGAGGAGGACACGCGCAAGAUCUUGGCGGAGUGGAAGGUACGAGUAGGCAUUACCUACAGCUCCAUCGCCCACGAGGAGCACCGGUACACCAUAUUUAAGGAGGCCCUCCGCGACAUCGACCAGCACAACGCUGGCUACGCCAUCGGGGUCUACAAUAACAACCGAUGCAUCGACCAGUUCAGCCAUCUCACCCAAGAGGAGUACGAAGCCGUUUGCUGCGGGUACUGGGAGGUGAUGCCGUCCGAGGCCGAAUUACAGAGGGUGGGCGAGAUCCAGGAGCGCUUGUGGCAGGCAUUUACUCAUCGGCUAAUUUAA
rnacentral:rRNA from 1 species